AACGAACGCUGGCGGCAUGCCUAACACAUGCAAGUCGAACGAAGCCUUCGGGCUUAGUGGCGCACGGGUGCGUAACGCGUGGGAAUCUGCCCUUGGGUUCGGAAUAACAGUUAGAAAUGACUGCUAAUACCGAAUGAUGUCUUCGGACCAAAGAUUUAUCGCCCAAGGAUGAGCCCGCGUCGGAUUAGCUAGUUGGUGAGGUAAAGGCUCACCAAGGCGACGAUCCGUAGCUGGUCUGAGAGGAUGAUCAGCCACACUGGGACUGAGACACGGCCCAGACUCCUACGGGAGGCAGCAGUGGGGAAUAUUGGACAAUGGGCGAAAGCCUGAUCCAGCAAUGCCGCGUGAGUGAUGAAGGCCUUAGGGUUGUAAACCCCUUUCGGGAGGGAAGAUGGAGUGGGGUAACCACUUGGACGGUACCUCCAGAAGCAGCCACGGCUAACUUCGUGCCAGCAGCCGCGGUAAU
rnacentral:rRNA from 1 species